UUGCCAAUAGAUGCGGUAAAGGGUAAAGAAAAAUCAGGAACAUGGUUUUUACAUUGCAUAAAAUGCACAUCUCUACUCUAAGACCAUUUAGCACGGUUUCUGAUCCUUGCUUAUUUUGAGAUGAGAGGUAAAAACAGCUUUUUACUAUAGUGAACCGAGGAGCCAUCAGAGGUGAUCAGAGUUCUAGCAAACGGGGCAGUUACUUUACAUUGCUUCAGUUCAUUCUAGUGGUAAAAAAGUUUUGAAAAUGCUACUGCACGAUUUCCAUAACCAG
rnacentral:lncRNA from 1 species